CCUGGCUCAGGAUGAACGCUAGCUACAGGCUUAACACAUGCAAGUCGAGGGGCAGCAUGGUCUUAGCUUGCUAAGGCCGGUGGCGACCGGCGCACGGGUGAGUAACACGUAUCCAACCUGCCGUCUACUCUUGGACAGCCUUCUGAAAGGAAGAUUAAUACAAGAUGGCAUCAUGAGUCCGCAUGUUCACAUGAUUAAAGGUAUUCCGGUAGACGAUGGGGAUGCGUUCCAUUAGAUAGUAGGCGGGGUAACGGCCCACCUAGUCUUCGAUGGAUAGGGGUUUUGAGAGGAAGGUCCCCCACAUUGGAACUGAGACACGGUCCAAACUCCUACGGGAGGCAGCAGUGAGGAAUAUUGGUCAAUGGGCGAGAGCCUGAACCAGCCAAGUAGCGUGAAGGAUGACUGCCCUAUGGGUUGUAAACUUCUUUUAUAAAGGAAUAAAGUCGGGUAUGGAUACCCGUUUGCAUGUACUUUAUGAAUAAGGAUCGGCUAACUCCGUGCCAGCAGCCGCGGUAAUACGGAGGAUCCGAGCGUUAUCCGGAUUUAUUGGGUUUAAAGGGAGCGUAGAUGGAUGUUUAAGUCAGUUGUGAAAGUUUGCGGCUCAACCGUAAAAUUGCAGUUGAUACUGGAUAUCUUGAGUGCAGUUGAGGCAGGCGGAAUUCGUGGUGUAGCGGUGAAAUGCUUAGAUAUCACGAAGAACUCCGAUUGCGAAGGCAGCCUGCUAAGCUGCAACUGACAUUGAGGCUCGAAAGUGUGGGUAUCAAACAGGAUUAGAUACCCUGGUAGUCCACACGGUAAACGAUGAAUACUCGCUGUUUGCGAUAUACUGCAAGCGGCCAAGCGAAAGCGUUAAGUAUUCCACCUGGGGAGUACGCCGGCAACGGUGAAACUCAAAGGAAUUGACGGGGGCCCGCACAAGCGGAGGAACAUGUGGUUUAAUUCGAUGAUACGCGAGGAACCUUACCCGGGCUUAAAUUGCAGAUGAAUUACGGUGAAAGCCGUAAGCCGCAAGGCAUCUGUGAAGGUGCUGCAUGGUUGUCGUCAGCUCGUGCCGUGAGGUGUCGGCUUAAGUGCCAUAACGAGCGCAACCCUUGUUGUCAGUUACUAACAGGUUCCGCUGAGGACUCUGACAAGACUGCCAUCGUAAGAUGUGAGGAAGGUGGGGAUGACGUCAAAUCAGCACGGCCCUUACGUCCGGGGCUACACACGUGUUACAAUGGGGGGUACAGAGGGCCGCUACCACGCGAGUGGAUGCCAAUCCCCAAAACCUCUCUCAGUUCGGACUGGAGUCUGCAACCCGACUCCACGAAGCUGGAUUCGCUAGUAAUCGCGCAUCAGCCACGGCGCGGUGAAUACGUUCCCGGGCCUUGUACACACCGCC
rnacentral:rRNA from 1 species